CGGGUUAUCCCAACAAAUCGUGGCUCUUGACCCCAUUGUCUAAGCCUGUUGGUAGAGCAGAAAAACGUUACCAAGAGACACACAAAGCAUCAAGGCAAGUAAUUGAGCGUGCCUUCGGUGUACUUAAAAGCCGGUUUAGAUGUUUAGACACUUCCGGUGGUGCUCUUUUGUACUCACCGGCGAAGGUUUGUGGCAUGGUAAAUGCAUGUUGUAUUUUACACAACAUAUGUGUCGCAAACCGUUUGCCGGUGACUCUUCGUCGCAGUGCUUUCCGACGCGGGAACCGUUCUUCUGCUCUACCGGUGGGUAUGGACGAAGGAGAUGAUUCCCGACGGACAUUGAUCCAAAGCUUUUUUUCCACUGCCUAGUUUUACGUACUGUCGACGCACCUUCCCAGGCCUGUUUUCAAAGUUUCGUCCUGUUGACGACCUGUUACCCCGUUUUUUCCUGUUGUUGGGUUGCAGCAAAUAUUGGACCCGUUUAUCCAACUCUACCAUGGACAACAUACUUGUGAUGUGGACCUGAACCUCCGCCAUGUAGCAGACAACUCCCCUCAGGUCUUGCGGAGUAUCCUUCCCAAGUUGCUUGAAUCAUCAUGGAUGAAAUGUACCAUGGGCGACCUAACACAAUACCACUGCAUCUCAUAUAUUACAUUUUAUUUACUAAUAAUUUAAAGAAAAACACA